AAGUGGGAAGUCCACCGAACCUUUCUGCCAUAUUGUUUAUUACACAAGAAAGAAGUCCAUAUGGCCAUUGUGCUUCUAUUCCUAUUGUAGCUGCGGGUCUUGCUGCUCUAGGUGGCCAAGCAGUUGCUUUAAGUGCUCAGGUUGCUUAUCUUGUAAGUGGUCAAGCUGGAUAUGUUGCUCUUGUAAGUGGUUAAGUUGGUCUGGUUGCUGCCAUAAGUUGCCGAGCAGAUAGGGAUGCUGCUGAAACAAAUCAAGCUGCUACUUUUAGCAUCCAACGUAGCCCAGCAGAGGCGGAUCUAAGAUCCUGGAUCCAGCAUGUCAUUUGUUCUAUGUCGCCAAGCAGCUGCUACAAGUGUCCAACCUGACCUAGCUGCUGCUCUAAGUACUGGAAAAGCUGUGGGUGCCACUGUUUUUUGCAUCUGGCUGCUAGGCUAACUGUAAAUGGAAAGAACAUUGUUGCUCAAAAUGAUUUCUGACAGCAUUCAUAAGGCAUCCUAUAAAUCAUGAGACGGGUAGCAGCCAACGAUGCAUAUUGGUUCAGCAUCAAACAAUCCAGCCAAAAUGUGGAGCUUUAUCAUAUGUAGCUGAUCACUGAACAUCGUCCAAUUUUUUGAUCUUGCUAGUGUACAUAUUAGUAGGUGAUUGAGUUUAGACAUCAUGUUUUGCCUCACAAGAUUUGGUCAACUGUGCAUUCAUUUCUUUCCUCUAUUAAGCUAGGAGAAGAACAAGCGGGGAAAAAGCUAUAAUUUCGACAAAGUUGGGAAGUAUGUAAAUUAUUCAAGUAGAGUAUCUCCUCCUUUUUCU